GCUCCCUUCGAAAGUUUGAACCAACGUUUUCGUCCACCAUUGUCACGAUGCCAGCGGGAAACUAAGACUGACGAGAAACAUUCCUUUUAACAGACAUCUGACAUCACAAGUCAUCGCAGACAGGUAGCUGUGGAAGGUCUUCCCAUAUUUCUGCGGGAUAAUACUGAGAAGCUUUUCUCUAGAUGCCUGGCAACUGAUGCUGAUGACAAACAGAUAAAAGGCAUCAAGAUGGGGGUCCUCACAGUGCUUGAUGAUGAUGACGACGACGACAACGCAGUCAUUAAUAUUGCCCUUGUGUUGGAGGAAACCACUGUCCUGAAAGACAUCCCAGACACCCCGACUGCGCUUGCGUAUCUUUUUGGCUUACUUUAUGCCCUCAACAUGGAGUUCCCAAAAGACAAUAGGUAUACCUUUGAAACUAUCCAGCACAUUUUGGACAGCGUGUCCGGAGCUUCAAGACCAAGCUGUUAAUCCAGUGAUUCAUUUUCCAUGGGGAAGAUUUGUUUUAUUGUGUUUGUUCAUUUAUGUUUGGAUAUUUGUAGGUCUUCCCAUAGUCCACCUUUUAUUUUGUAUAUUCUUCCUUUAUUUUGACUUCUGUUAUUUUGAAACAAAUCUUUUAUUUGUAGCUGUUAAAUAACUGCUAUGAUUUUUGUAAAGCCUCAUUUACAAAUGCAUUCAAUGAUACUGAUUGUUUCUCAGUAGAUGCAAACUUUGUUUCAGCAUUGCUGGUAUAGUAUUUAUCUUUGCUGGUGUGGCAAGUGUCCAGGGGGAAGUUUUUUCAAUCAUGUCUGUUAAUUUAUUAUUUUUUGAAUAUUUUGUAAGUGUUCACAUAGACCACCUUAUAGUUUUUAUUUUGUUCUUUUUGAUUUCCUAAAACUUAUUGACAUGUGCCUUAUUUGCUCUGGACACAAGUGCUUUAUUUGAACUAAAAACAAAUAUUUUAUUUGUAGCUGUCAUACUGUUAUGAGACUGGUGUUCAUUGU